UGGAGCUGUUGGAGUGGGUCCAGAGGAGUGCCACAGAGACGAUCAGAGGGCUGGAGCACCUCCCCUGUGAAGAAAGGUUGAGGCAGUUGUGCCUGUUUAGUUUGGACAAGAAAACACUGUGGGGAAACCUCAUUGCAGUACUUGAAGGGAGCUUACAAGCAAGAGGAGGACUGACUUUUUACAUGGUCUUAUAGUGACAGGAAAAGAAAGAGUGGCUUUAAGCUAAAAGAGGGGAGAAUGAGGUUAGAUGUUUGGCAGAAAUUUUUUUACUCAGAGGCUGCUGGAGCAGGCUACCCAAAGAAGUUGUGGAUGACCCCUCUCUGGAGAUGUUCAAGUCUAGGUUGGAUGGGAUACUGGGCAGCCUGAUCUAGUGGCUGGAAACACUGCCAAUGGCAGGGGGUUUGGACUUGUGUGAUCUUUAAGAUCCUUUCCAACCCAAGCCAUUCUAUGAUUCUGUGAUUCUGUUGUAGAGUUAAAAGUUUAUCCCUGGAUUUAAAACUGUAGCAUGCCUGGAGUUAAAUUAAGACAAGAAAUUUCUGUGAGGAAAUCUGACUAGUUACUUGGCCCAACAUUAUUAGCUCCUGCUGAUCUCUGUGGAGAGUCUACAAAACCAGAUUUUUAUCAAGCCUCAGCCACCCCCAGGCUGUUCAGGCAUCCUAGGGUAUCUUGUGCCUUGCUGAAGAGCCCCUAUAUAACAAAGGGUAGAUGAACUAAAACUGGUAGCAGAUAUCAUGUUGGAAACUAUUCAAAAUCUAGAUGAAAAAAUGAGAGUUUUGCACUCUAUCUGACCUUCUUUUGUCCUGUGUUGUCUCGGUUUGACACAGCAACAGAAAGACAGCAAGCUUGUUUUCCAGCAUAUCCUUGUAUCUGCCAGAGCAAAGGAUGUAUCAUUCUGAUCCAAAUCCUUGUCCCAGCCUCAUGUGUUUCUUCCUUCCUUCCAUCCGAUACUGUAAUUCUUUCUUCAGUAUUCAUGUCUUCUCUUCCUGACAAAUUUUGGGAGCGUUUUAGCAGGUUACACACAUAGAAAGAAUUAUCCUUAACUAGUGUUGAUACCAUCCAUCACUACAAAUUCAACUGUGCAGCACAUAGUGGGGUUAAACCUCCUGCAAAAAGCUGACUUGACCAUGUUCUUGUGUGUCACUGCAGGGCUGAAAAUCCUUGUUAGAAGAAUGCUUCGGCUUUCAGCUUCUACUCUAUCCCUCAUAUUUAUUCCAUUCCCAUUUUGGGUGCCCUCUGAAUACUCCCAUAUGCAAAUACCUCAAUGCCAUCCAUUGAUGGAGGGGUGGUAUAGAUAUACCACUUGUUGCUCUUGAAGCAAAGGGCUAUAUGAGCAGGAAAAGAAAAAAGGGUAUACGGUUGUCUUUGUACCCAUUUGCACCAGUCCAACUGAUGCAAGAGGCAUCAUGGAGCAACACUGAAUUGAGCUCAACAUACAGAGCCAAAUGAGACUGCUGAAAGAACGUGUGUAGGCAGGAAAAAAAAAAUCAAAUUACCAGAGCUGGAAUUAGGCCAGAACACCUUCACUAACACCUCUAUUC
ensembl:lncRNA